rnacentral:rRNA from 1 species
UACGAAGGGGGCUAGCGUUGUUCGGAAUUACUGGGCGUAAAGGGCGCGUAGGCGGUGUGUCAAGUCAGGCGUGAAAGCCCCGGGCUCAACCUGGGAACCGCGCUUGAGACUGGCACGCUAGAGUUCGGGAGAGGAUGGUGGAAUUCCCAGUGUAGAGGUGAAAUUCGUAGAUAUUGGGAAGAACACCGAUGGCGAAAGCAGCUCUCUGGGACGGUACUGACGCUGAGGCGCGAAAGCGUGGGGAGCGAACAGG